UACGGAGGAUGCAAGCGUUAUCUGGAAUGAUUGGGCGUAAAGCGUCCGCAGGUGGCAAUGUAAGUCUGCUGUUAAAGAGUCUAGCUCAACUAGAUAAAAGCAGUGGAAACUACAUAGCUAGAGUACGUUCGGGGCAGAGGGAAUUCCUGGUGUAGCGGUGAAAUGCGUAGAGAUCAGGAAGAACACCAGUGGCGAAGGCGCUCUGCUAGGCCGUAACUGACACUGAGGGACGAAAGCGAGGGGAGCGAAUGGG
rnacentral:rRNA from 1 species